rnacentral:lncRNA from 1 species
GAAACUGGUUGCCAUUAAACAGAAACAAUCUACUUAAAAAAAUUCUAUCGGUAAUUUUCUACAGUAAAUAAUUCUCAGUAUAAUUUUAAUCUGAUUGGACAGAAUUAAACACGUGAUCAAAUAUCUUACUAUACGAUUGGAUGUUAAAAUCAUUAAAAAAUAAUCACUUUAAUUUUUAUUUCUGUAGCUUUCUAUUGGUCAGAAUCUCCUAUGAAUGAAAUAAUCAAGGUCAUAGCUCUUCUCAAAAUCCAUUACCUUUACUUAUGUAAAGCCGGACUCAAACGACUCGUGUACUUGGCGAAUAAUCGUCACUUGCGGCAACUUGCCAUGUCGUCUGAGUGGGUUACUCGUACAAUUAUUUGUCACUCGUUGCCACUCGUUCGUCUUCCAACUGUUGUCGGUAAAAAAGACCCGAGUCAAAGGGAUCACGAUUAUUCGCACACUUGCGAAGUACAUACUUGUCUAUACUUGCAGAGGCGGUCAAACGAAAUGUAUAAAUAAUUGGCAUUUACUGCGACUAUUCAUUUAGACCAGUGCAUUUAGCACUAAAAACACCGGAAUAAAUCGAUUUUUAAAUACACCACCUAGAGACUUGCUCUCCUUUAAAGGGUACAUAACCUAUUUUGUUGAGUUGAAAAGAAAACAGUUGUUUUCAUAGUAUGUAUUUGUUUUCAUGUUUUGUUGUUUUUGUAUUUAACUUUUAAGGUUAACUUAACAGUCAAUAAUAAUAUAUUAUAUUAUUACUAGGAUUAAUUAAUUGUACUUUAAAAGCACAAUUAUGUAUAAUUUUUAAAUGUCUAGUUCAAGAAAUUUAUUGUAUUCAGAAGACCAAAAAUGAACCAGAACAGAUUAAGAACAAACUGUUUUGAACAAUAAUAAUAUUAUUAUGAUGAUAAACAAACAGUUUUGUGCCUUCUUAAAUAGAAAACCAAAUAACUUUCACUAUUAGAGGUGGAUACAUUACUCCCAUGCAACAAAUUCUGUUGGAUUGUAUGCAAUUAAAUGUAGCUGAUUUUAAGGCAGUGUCCAGAGGUUCAGCAAGUAGAAUUAUAAAAAUAGUAUCCUUUACAAUUGCAAGAAUCAUCAAGAGGUGGAAAGCUGUUGAAGAUUCUUACAAGAUUGCUGUAUUCCCUAGAAUAAUGAGUGCAAUGGGUUAUACUUUAAUUAAAAUAGAUUCUGCAGGUGUUCAGGAUGCAGAAAUUUUCAGGUCCAGAAAAUCAUUUUUUGCAUUGAAUGUGAAUGUCCAGUCAGUAAUGCAAAAUUUAAAAUUAGAGAUAUUGUUGUACUGUGGCCAUCAAAUAAGACAAUUUUAAUAAUAGUAGGCUGAAGCAUAAUUCAGGGGCUUAGAAUCACACAAACAUUUUGUUUUAUUUUCGUCUACAGAAAUAUUAGGGUUACGGUAACUGAACGUUAUAUGUACCUAAGUAUAUGCAUGUGCAAAUCAGAACUAAAGCAGGUGGACAUACGUUCGUGUGAAUCUUAAAUAAGAAGUUGAAUGUAGUUAUGUUUGUGUGACACUAGCCCCUGAAUUUUGAAAGUGGUAUCUUUGGCCAUUACGUAUUGGUUGGUGACAAUGACGAACAAGGAAUGUAGUAGAACAGCAAUAUGGAUUGUGGAAAUGAAGAUUUCCUAUACUCGGCUUAGAAAUGAGACUACAAUUAGACAACAUGACUGUGAUUGUUGCAACUAGAGUGCUUCAUAAUACUGACAUUGAUAUGGAUGACAAUUUUCCUGUGAAUAAAACUGAAGAUGAAGCAAACGAUGAAUAAUUACAACCGAUAAAAAAUAAUAAAAAUAUUUCAGAAAACAAUAUAACACUAAAUAAUAAGUGUUAAUAAAUGAACAGUGGUAGAUUGUAAAUAUAUUUAUUAAUAAAAGCAAAAUGAAUGUGUUAAA